rnacentral:lncRNA from 1 species
CUUGUGGGUUUUGUGAUCCCCUGAGUUUAUUCAGGUGUAAGUAUAAAACUGAUGGCAGUUGGAGAAGGUCAGCAUUACAUAUUCAUUUUAUUUUAAAUAAUUGAUGAUGUUUCCUGUCUCUGCUUACAUUAAUUGCUCUCAGGUGUUGGAAAAUGGCUCGGUGAGUUGCCUUUUAAUGUGUUUCUUUAGAAAGACAGCGUGGCUGCUCUUUGGAAUACUAAAAGCAUCGUGUACUGCACAGGAUUUUCUAACUGGAGGUUAAUAAAGGGAACAUAGGCACGGAUGCUCUCUGCCACGUGGAGGAGAGGGAUGUAUUUAACUAUACACCUAAGGAUGUGAGCGCUUUCUCCACUAUCAGAAUAGGACUCCUGUUUACCCAGAUUCUCCUGGUCAGAUGCGGCAGUAGAAAACCACUCGGUAUUCCGUAUCUUUGCGAGGUAGUGACAAUGACAAUGGAGUAUGAAAUACAGAGUCAUUUUUCACGAUCCGUCCACAGGGGAUGUUUCCUCUCAAGUACAACCCACAAGUAUUUUUGCAAAGAGUGCUUAGCCUUCCGAAGGAAUGCAAUGUUAUUUUUUUUAAUCUGAUCACACAUACAAAGGAGUCGGGUUCUUGAAACAAUAGUUCUUCUGCCACUUUCAAAAAUACGAAUCGUCUCACUUCUAGCCAUAUAUAAAAAGGUCUGUUCUUUUUGUCUUAAAUAUUAUUUUUAAGGAAAGGUUGGGCAGACACCACAGCUGAUUCCGAGGCUCUGCUCAACUUCUCCAUUCUGCACUGAUGCUUGGAGGAAGUAAAUUUAUAAUGCCUAUUAAUUUACUGAGAGCAGACCAAGAAACUUAGUUUUAAAAGACUCUUCUGUGAUGUGUGCUUCUAGGAUGGAACACUAAUCAAACCUAUAUUGAAUUAACUCAGAGUCAAGCUGAGUCUCAGAAGCAGAACAGUUAGCUUUCGAGAAAGGGCAGGAGGCUUUGGGGAUACCUUCAGAGGGCAGCAGGCUGGACUUGGGGUGACCUCACCCAUUCUACGGAUGAGCACUUACGAGUGUCCUCAGCAAUGUCAGACCACAUCGUGAAGGGAGCACUGUGGGACCAUGUGUCUUGCUCUUUGCUUCUCUUUUUGGUUGGGUACGUUACACAGAAAGAAAACCAAGACAGUUCUAAUGGACAUUCAAAUUUAGGGUCUACACUUCUUCAAUGUUCCAUCAAACAGCAACAGUAACCCAAAGACCUCUGUUUUCAGUCCAAAUUUUGGUUAAGAGGCAAGAUCUUUUCUAACCACUGUGAACCAUAACCUAACCGUUUGAUUAACUGUGCCAAGUAAAUACACAGUACUUUACAUCGUAUCGACCUACUCGCGCACAAAGUACGUGUGCAACAUUCACAGAUAUCGCUCGGGGUGUGUGGGUGUGUGCGCAUGUACACGCACGCUGACAGAGAGCAAGUCAAUACAACAGCUGCUCAGCGUUAUUUACAAUAUAUUGGCAUCACUGCUGACCUAAAGAGCUGAAGAAAAUAACAGGCCAUAUUUUCAGCUUAAUAAAAUCCUGCAGGAGGGAGCCCUUUAUGAACAAUUACAAGCAUUUGCUGGAAAUACAUUUGCUGAUUUAACAAACUGGGAAGGACAAAUGUUUAACAUGCUGUCGUAAUGAUGUUCAGAUGCUUUUCUUCGUAUCCGUUGAUCUGAGAUAAUGCGUUCUUGCCCAAUCAUGCUACAAAGAAGCUGCAGAAAUAAAUAAAUAAAUACAUGUAAUGUGAUGCGCUCUCACAAGAGCGGAGCUGCUGACUGCCCCUGACAGAUGG